rnacentral:hammerhead_ribozyme from 1 species
AUCCAUCUGACGAGUCUCAAACAGGACGAGACCCGCGUCCUGGAU